UUAGAGUUUGAUCCUGGCUCAGGAUGAACCCUUGCGGCAGGCUUAACACAUGCAAGUCGAGGGGCAACAUGUCCAGCAAUGGAUGAUGGCGACCGGCGGAAGGGUGCGUAACGCGUGAGCAACAUGCCCUAUACAGGGAGAUACACCAGGGAAACUUGGUCUAAUAUCCCAUAUCAUUCAUUGAAGGCAUCUUUAAUGAAUUAAAGCUUCGGUGGUAUAGGAUUGGCUCGCGUGACAUUAGCCAGAUGGUGAGGUAACGGCUCACCAUAGCAAUGAUGUCUAGGGGUUUUGAGAGGAACGCCCCCCACACUGGGACUGAGACACGGCCCACACUCCUACGGGAGGCAGCAGUGAGGAAUAUUGGACAAUGGAUGGAAAUCUGAUCCAGCCAUGCCGCGUGCAAGAAGACGGCCUUAUGGGUUGUAAACUGCCUUUAUACGGGAGCAAUAAGGGUUACGAGUAAUCCGAUGAGAGUACUGUAUGAAUAAGGAUCGGCUAACUCCGUGCCAGCAGCCGCGGUAAUACGGAGGAUCCGAGCGUUAUCCGGAAUUAUUGGGUUUAAAGGGUGCGUAGGCGGCCAUUUAAGUCAGCGGUGAAAUUUUGCAGCUUAACUGUAACAGUGCCGUUGAUACUGCUUGGCUAGGAUUUGGUUGUAGUGUGCGGAAUGUGUGGUGUAGCGGUGAAAUGCUUAGAUAUCACACAGAACACCGAUUGCGAAGGCAGCACACUAAGUCAUUAUUGACGCUGAGGCACGAAAGUGUGGGGAUCAAACAGGAUUAGAUACCCUGGUAGUCCACACUGUAAACGAUGAUAACUCGCUGUCGGCGAUACACAGUCGGUGGCCAAGCGAAAGCAUUAAGUUAUCCACCUGGGGAGUACGACCGCAAGGUUGAAACUCAAAGGAAUUGACGGGGGCCCGCACAAGCGGAGGAACAUGUGGUUUAAUUCGAAGCAACGCGAAGAACCUUACCUAGACUUGACAUCUCCUGCAUUACUCUUAAUCGAGGAAGUCCUUUCGGGGACAGGAUGACAGGUGGUGCAUGGUUGUCGUCAGCUCGUGUCGUGAGAUGUUGGGUUAAGUCCCGCAACGAGCGCAACCCUUAUUGUUAGUUGCCAUCAUUAAGUUGGGCACUCUAGCGAGACUGCCCGGGUUAACUGGGAGGAAGGUGGGGAUGACGUCAAAUCAUCAUGCCCCUUAUGUCUAGGGCUACACACGUGCUACAAUGGUCGGUACAAUAAGACGCAAGCCCGCGAGGGGGAGCAAAACUGGAAAACCGAUCUCAGUUCGGAUUGUAGGCUGAAACUCGCCUACAUGAAGCUGGAGUUGCUAGUAAUCGCGAAUCAGCAUGUCGCGGUGAAUACGUUCCCGGGCCUUGCACACACCGCCCGUCAAG
rnacentral:rRNA from 1 species